ensembl:lncRNA
CUGUCUUUGGUGUAGGAGAGCUGGACUUCAGCUCCUUCCUGUUUCCUGCCUAUCUGCUCCCUGCUUUGCCCAUGGCCCAGUGAGCCUUUUAUUCUUCACCCCCGGACUUGCACGUGUGGAUAACAGCAUCUGCUUAUGUGCGCUUCUUUUCUGCUUGUGGUGUCAGGCUGAGCGACAGCUCCCAGCCGAGCUUGUGCUUAGCGAGACACAGAGUAGCUGGAGAUGGAGUUCUCUGUGUCACUAAAGCAUGAGCUUGAUGGCUGCCGUGAGCCAAAGCAUCAGAGUUUCUGUGUUUGAUUUCUGUGUUGGGCUGAGCGGGUAGAGCAGGGCAAGGGGGCUGAUUUGGACGUGCUGCUUUCCAAAUACGGUGCUGUUUGUGUGGCAAUGCUUCUGGCAUUCCAAAUUGUGUCAGAUGUCACUGAAUUCCUUGGAAUCUGCUGAGUUGACUUGUGCAGGUUUCAUUCUGGAGCUGAACCCUUCCUGGCCGCUUCUGUGCAUAGCCAUGGCUGUUGCUUCUUUCUUGCCUCCUUUCUUUGUUGUGUUUGGCACUGUGCAAGCCGUGAAUUGCCAGGGAGCAGCUGAAAGUGCUCUGGAGUUGUGGGGGGCAAACUGCCAAGAAACAAGGUGCAGCUUCAAAGCCCUGAAGUUUGGAGAGACGAGAGAUGCACAGCGCUCUGCCUGGUGCAG